UCUUCAAAAGAGACUAAAGAGAAAAUAUUAUGGCCAGCAUAUGCAGAGGCAUUCGAGGUGCAGGAAGAAUUGGGAAAUGAGAAAAAUUUAGCACUUUUGUGUAAAAUUUGUAUUGAAAAAAAAAUUAUACAUGCUAGCAGAACUUCAACAGCAAACUUAAGAAAACAUUUAACUUUUAUUAUCGAAGACAUUCAACCCCUUUCCACUAUUGAUAGUCCAGCAUUCAUUAAUUUGCUAAGAAUUGGAGUUCCUUCACAUAUGCGUAUAAUGUGCAGGAAAACAUUAAAA